rnacentral:sRNA from 1 species
CGUGGCCACCAUGCUGAUCUCGAUCCCCACCGGGGUGAAGCUGUUCAACUGGCUGUUCACCAUCUACAAGGGCCGCCUGCGCUUCAGCACGCCGAUCCUGUGGACCCUGGGCUUCAUGGUG